rnacentral:rRNA from 1 species
CUACGGGUCGCUCCAGUGAGGAAUAUUGCACAAUGGGGGGAACCCUGAUGCAGCAACGCCGCGUGGAGGUUGACGCAUUUCGGUGUGUAAACUCCUUUUAUAUGUCAAGAAAAUGACGGUAGCAUAUGAAUAAGCACCGGCUAACUCCGUGCCAGCAGCCGCGGUAAUACGGAGGGUGCAAGCGUUACUCGGAAUCACUGGGCGUAAAGGACGCGCAGGCGGGUUGGAAAGUCAGGUGUGAAAUCCUACAGCUUAACUGUAGAACUGCACUUGAAACUUCUAAUCUAGAGUAUGGGAGGGGGAGAUGGAAUUAGUGGUGUAGGGGUAAAAUCCGUAGAUAUCACUAGGAAUACCUAAAGCGAAGGCGAUCUCCUGGAACAUUACUGACGCUAAGGCGUGAAAGCGUGGGGAGCAAACAGGAUUAGAUACCCUCGUAGUC